AAUUGAGCAAAACAUCCGUUCAAAGCUCUUCAUUUCCAGACUGAAUCCUCCCUCAGAAAAGUUAGUCUUUCAAAUUUGCUUUCUCUUUCAAAAUAACUAACUGCAAAAGCCAUUUGGCUCCAGCUGUUACAAAAAUAUUUUCUGUUCCACCCACCACCCCCCCAAAAAAAGAAAGAAAAGAAAAAAAAAACGUCAGAAAACACUUCCACACACACACAUGCAGAGACUCAAGCAAUUAUUGUGUAACUCCAGUGACUUUCAUUUACUGUGUGCACCAUCAUGGUUAACAGAUUAUAUUGUUCACUUUGUCAAUAGACUUUAUUUCUAUAACACUUUUCAACCAGAAAUCUAGUUUUAAAAACUGCUCUUUGGUCCUCAUUUGGCUACAAUCGACUUCAUUCAUUCCAAUAGAGGAAACUUAAGGAACUAUGAACUAGUUGUGACAUCUUCAAGACAUUAAGGAAACACACACACAUGUGCAGCACACCCACUUUUUCUUCGGAAAUCUCAGUUUUUGGGGGGUGUGCUCCUAAAAGUCUACCUCCCUUCACUGUAACAAAUCCAGAGUGAAACUGCAGACAUUUCUGCUUGUUGAGCUUCACCCAGCAUGAAGGCAAGUACAUUUUGUUCUCUAAAACAGAGAUUCCUGGUCUAUGUUCGGCAUCUAUUGUGAAGUCCUUUUUGAUCUGUUUCUUGUUUGGAUCUUCUAUUUUCAGAACUUUUCACGUCUCUGCUCUGCGGCUUUGCCAUGGCUUCUUGUUCACUUUGCAACCGGAGGGUUCUGCCUCAGGAUUCACUGUAUGUGGGGAUCUUUUAGCAGCUGGUCAACGUGUGAUCCCUGCACAAAUCUACAGACCAGAAGUCGAGCCAUGGUCGUGUACCAGGCUUGUGAAACGACUCAGGGUUGCCCUUUAGACGAUGGAUGUGGGGCCGUUUUCGCUUGUAUUAGCAAAUCUCUGGUGUGCAACGGAGACCAAGACUGUGAGGGGGAUGGGCUCGAUGAGAAUGGCUGCACCAACCAACAAAAGUUUUCUGCGUGUGAACACACAGUGACCCCUCCUAAUGUUGAUCUAAUUGGUCUUGGGGUUGAUGUGGUCACUGGAAACCAAAGAGGCAGUGUCAUCAACACAAGGAGCUUUGGCGGCCAGUGUCGAACCAUCUUCAGUGGCGUCCACAAGGCUUUCUAUCGACUGCCUCUCAGCACCAUACAAUACAAUUUCUUGGUUAAAGUGCAGAACGACUUCAGUGAUGAGAUGUUCAGCAGUAAGUGGCAUUACGCCAAGGAUGUUGUCAACCGAGAAACGGUGACGGGGACCACGAAAGGAUAUAAAAACUACGACUUUCACGAGACACACGACACCUCUCAGUACCACAGGCUCCUAGUGUUAAAGAACGACAUAGAAGUAGCACAGUUCCAGAGCAACUCUCCACAGUAUAUCCCCAUUGCAGAGGAAUUCUGGAAGGCUUUGGCCAAACUCCCAUCCGUCUAUGACUACACGGCUUACAGGAAGGUUCUGGAGAGGUUCGGAACACACUAUGUGUCUCAGGGAAGCCUGGGGGAACUUUUCAAUAAGCUAUUGUUGCAUUUGUUUGGGUUAUUUGAACACAAUUUAUAUAAAUACCAUGCAUUUCCACCUUUGAUUUCAAGAUCUUAUUCCUACAACAACGUAGUGGCAAAAGUGGAAACAAAAGGAGGAGACGUCUCCCACUCCGCUGCGGUGCAGAGGAUGCAGCUUGACGACGCAAGCAAGAACUGGGAGAUGUACUCAAACUGGGCGGAUUCUAUCAGAUCCAUUCCAGAAAUCAUAAAACAAAAGCUGCGGCCGCUGUCAGAGCUGGUGAAGGACGUUCAGUGUGCCGGGGUGAAGAAGCUGUACCUGCGCAGAGCCAUCGAACAAUACCGUGCAGAGAGUGACCCCUGCCACUGCCAGCCCUGCAGAAACAAUGGCAUAGUUGUCAUGGAUGGUGACGUGUGCAAAUGCAUCUGCAAGCCUGGCACGUCAGGGGCGGCUUGUGAGCAAGGAAUUGAGGCUGAGGGCCAACGAGGAGUAAUCCACGGCAGUUGGACUUGCUGGUCUGCUUGGUCAGCAUGCUCCAGGGGUCAGAGGUCUCGAAGUCGCCAUUGCCAAAACCCCGCGCCCCAGAACGGAGGACAGCACUGCAUCGGUGAUACGGUUGAGAAGUCUUCCUGUGAUGAAGAAGAUCUGGAAUACCUGAAGACCAUGGAACCUCAGUGCUUUGACAACACUCUGCCACCAAGUCAGAAGUGUGAAACUCCCCCAGCUCUGAUCAAUGGCUUUAUUGUGAAUCCAAAGGAUAUUUACCUUGUGGGGGGUAGAGUUGAAUACAGCUGCAUUGUGGGUUUCCAUCUGCUUGGAAACGGCGUCCUGGAAUGCAAUUCUGACCAAGGCUGGUCUCCAAGCCUUGGCCAGUCUUCAUCUUGUAAACUAAAAUUCCUCAAUGAGGAGGUUCUAGCUUCUCCUACGAAAGAGGCUUAUGACAUCGGGGAGGCUGUCACCUUGUCUUGUCCGGAGGGCAGAAUCUUACAGGGAGAAGACCGAGUCCUGUGUGACUCCAGCUUGAAUUUUUCUCCAAAUCCUGCAGAAAUUACAUGCAGCCAAGUCGAAACCCUGCCUUCUCCCGUCACUCCCACAGUGAGCUGUGAGGCAUGGGAGAAGCCCUCCAAAGGCAAAUGUAUUUGCAAAAUCCCUCAUGAAUGCAGUUUGUCUAUGGAUAUUUGUGCCACAUCUCCAGGAAGUGGAAAAUUCAUCCCCAUGACUGUGUGCAAAAUGCAUGCCCUGAAGUGCAAUGGGAAGAAUUUUGAAAUAGCCGAAUACAGCAACUGCGUGUGGCCUCGGCGCAGCGCUCCGGACUGCAGCUCCUGCCACAUGUGGGAGAAAUGUGAUGAAUCAACCAGCAGCUGUCGCUGUAAGGAGCUUGCAGACUGUUUGAACGCUGUCAUAAAGGUGUGCGUCCGCGUUGGUGAGGAUGACACGGCGUCCAUGCAGACCAUGAGUGAGUGUGAAGCAGGAGUUCGACAAUGCAACGGAGAAAAGGUGUCUGUUAUCAGCAUCCGGCCCUGUGCUUCCUGAGGAUUCAGAGAACUGACAACCAUGUUUCCUUUCCUUUGUAAUCCACAUGUACUUUUUUAUUUGAAGGACCUUAACAUGCAUGUAUCCUUAGGAGGCAAUAAAACUCAGCAGGCCUCUCCCUGUUCA
ensembl:lncRNA